GACGAACGCUGGCGGCGUGCCUAACACAUGCAAGUCGAACGGUCCGGCACUCAACCGACCCUCAGUCUAGCUGUAGGUGAGGUUAAGUGCCGGAUAGUGGCGGACGGGUGAGUAACGCGUGGGCAACCAACCCUGUACAGUGGGAUAACACCGGGAAACCGGUGCUAAUACCGCAUGACACCUAGAUGGUGCAUACUGUUUAGGUUAAAGGGCAAAACCGGUACGGGACGGGCCCGCGUCCCAUUAGCUGGUUGGUGAGGUAACGGGCUCACCAAGGCGACGAUGGGUAGCCGACCUGAGAGGGUGACCGGCCACACUGGGACUGAGACACGGCCCAGACUCCUACGGGAGGCAGCAGUGGGGAAUAUUGCGCAAUGGACGGAAGUCUGACGCAGCGACGCCGCGUGAGCGACGAAGGCCUUGGGUCGUAAAGCUCUGUUCUUGGGGACGAAUAAAUGACGGUACCAAGGAGAAAGCCCGGCUACUACGUG
rnacentral:rRNA from 1 species